AUCGUAAACAAAUAACGUAGAACAACUCGCGAGUGAUUAAAAUAAUUUUUAAUUUAACAUUUAAUCUUUCGUGUGGAUAAUUGUAUUUCGGUUUGGAGUCCGCGAUAGGUUAUCGUAUUUCCUAGUUUUGAAUACGUUUUAAUUGCGCCGCUUUUUAGGGAACUCGGUAACGAAAAUAGCCGGUCGAUAACGCGCCUAGAGCCUUGGAAAGUGACUAUUUUUCUUUUGUUCUGGGUUUGGCGAAGGCAAAACUUUCCACAACCUCACCUUACGGUGCUCCCCUGACUGAAACUUAUCCUGUAGUCUUGAGUCUUGAACCGAAACUUAUGCUGUGGUCCAUAAAGAAUUGAAAAAAUAGUAUCUGAUGGCAUUUACAUGUAUUUUAUAAAAUGGAACAGAAACGUCGUAUGAUCUACUAUUUUUAAGGGAACCGUGGUAAAAUUAAGUUUGAAAACACAGCCCAACCUUCACGACCACCGGGGUUGAGGCCGCCGUCACCGGACACUUUCCUGGGAAAACUCUUCGUCAGCAGGUCUUCUAUGGUGAAACUGGUCGCACGACCGGUACCGUCCGUGGUCAGCACCCGCGCCGCCAGUAGAACCGAGACUAGUACGAACAG